rnacentral:rRNA from 1 species
GACGAACGCUGGCGGCGUGCUUAACACAUGCAAGUCGAGCGGUAAGGCCCUUUCGGGGGUACACGAGCGGCGAACGGGUGAGUAACACGUGGGUGACCUGCCCUCAGCUCUGGGAUAAGCCUGGGAAACCGGGUCUAAUACCGGAUAUGACUCCAUGACGCAUGUUGUGGGGUGGAAAGCCUUGUGCGGCUGAGGAUGGGCCCGCGGCCUAUCAGCUUGUUGGUGGGGUGAUGGCCUACCAAGGCGACGACGGGUAGCCGGCCUGAGAGGGCGACCGGCCACACUGGGACUGAGACACGGCCCAGACUCCUACGGGAGGCAGCAGUGGGGAAUUUUGGACAAUGGGCGCAAGCCUGAUCCAGCCAUGCCGCGUGCGGGAUGAAGGCC